rnacentral:rRNA from 1 species
AGAGUUUGAUCCUGGCUCAGAUUGAACGCUGGCGGCAUGCCUUACACAUGCAAGUCGAACGGCAGCACGGGGGCAACCCUGGUGGCGAGUGGCGAACGGGUGAGUAAUACAUCGGAACGUGUCCUGUAGUGGGGGAUAGCCCGGCGAAAGCCGGAUUAGUACCGCAUACGCUCUACGGAGGAAAGGGGGGGAUCUUAGGACCUCUCGCUACAGGGGCGGCCGAUGGCAGAUUAGCUAGUUGGUGGGGUAAAGGCCUACCAAGGCGACGAUCUGUAGCUGGUCUGAGAGGACGACCAGCCACACUGGGACUGAGACACGGCCCAAACUCCUACGGGAGGCAGCAGUUGGGGAAUAUUGGACAAUGGGCGCAAGCCUGAUCCCACCCAUGCCGCGUGAGUGAUGAAGGCCCUAGGGUUGUAAAGCUCUUUUGUGCGGGAAGAU